CUGCUUGCUGCCCUCUGUUUGCCAAGGACCAAUCAGUGAGUCCACCUGCCUGCAGGGACCAAUCAGUCAGAGAACAGAAGAACUAAGUCAGCAUGUCCUCGUCCACACAGGUAAUCAAAGGCACUGUUAAAGCGCCGCAACUAUGGACUGCUUUUCAAACGCUCUUAAACAAGCUCCUCUACGCAGCACCAUUUACCGCAGAGCCUGCCCUCAGGAAGCUUGUCAUGUAGCUGUAACUAAUUCUAGCAUAAUUUAGUGUAUUCUCACCUCUCACCCUUACCUGCAGGGCUAGAGCUGCAAUCAUGUGGAAGUUAUGAUAAUUUUAAUUACACUAGUUUGGAGGUUUUAAUGCAAGUUCUGCUAUAUUAGUGCUAAAAAUCCAAAAGUGCUUGAGGCAAGGCAAGCUAACAAUUAAAUGCUAAUUUAAACCUGCACUCAUCAAAAUUUUGGACAAACAUCAGACAGCAGACCAGCGGAAAUGUAAGAAGCUCUAUAACACCGACAGAUCAUCGACAGCUGCACACAACACCUCAGUCCUUUUUCAGUCCCUUUGAGCUGAUUGUUUUGGUUUUACAUCCAACACUCUCAUUGUUUUUGUGUUUACUCCUGAUGCUCUCAUUUACUACACUUGACAGGAGACAAAAAAACAGCAUCAAGAAUUGAUCCCUAAUCACAUUAUCCGGGUAUGUUUGUUUACACAACUAUGAGAAGUUUGAUGUAGAGUGACUUCAGUCAAGCUAACAUGUUAACAUGGUUUUAAAACAGUCCAGUUUCAGUCAAACUGAAACAAAGAAUUGAUUUAUUUAACAAUACGUAAAAGCAUGUCUGUUGACAAUUCCCCUCAAUGUCAGGUGGAUGUAUAAAUGAGCAACUUUCUAUGCUUACAACUUUGCCACUCCACCGCUGAAAGGUGGUGACAUGACACUGUACUAUUAAAGGCUGUGUGGGAUUUUUUGGUUGUGAAUAUUUUGGUAUUCAAGGUGAACUUUUUCUUUAUUUGCUGACUUUGUCUUGUGCAUGUAUAAAUAGGGAUUAUUCCUCAUAAAAUAAACGUAUGCAUUUUUCUAAAUUUUGGUCUAAAAUGUGUCUCUUGCUAAAUAUAUUUGUCAUAGAAAAUGUAAAAAAUAAACAAUUAUUCUGGUAAAAUAACAUUAUGGGAAUAAUCUAUUUGAAAAGUUAUGUUUGUUUGUUUUAAAAGUCUAAUAGGAACAAUAUUUGUAGUUUAGAGAGUUCUCACAGAAGCUUUAAGUAGGGGACGAUGUACGGUGAGUGGGUGCUUUAGUUAAACAGAAUCCCUCGCCGACACAUCUUGCCACAUCCUGAUGAAAUUCUAUUUUGCAAAACCACCCAUGCACAAUAUUUUAUCCCGCUUAUUAUGUAACCACAAAGUGAAGAUACAAACAACUUGACACUAAGUAAUAAUUUGAGCAGACUUUUAAAGUGAUUUAUUAAUGCAAGUCAAAGAUAAAGAAGUCUCUUAUAUUCAAUGAUUCUAUGGCAACGGUAUUCCUUAAAGCCUACCUGACAUUUAACUUAAAAUUUUAAUUCAUAUUCAAGUCUAGACAUUACCUGCUAUUCUGGGAUAUUACUUUACAGAUGCACAAAAAUAGAAGCAGCACCUGUCGAAGGUCCUCUUUCCUGUAACUUUCUUUUGGCAUUUUCUUCUCAGUCAGUCAGUCCUGUAACACUGCAGCAGCCUAAACUGUGUUGUGGUUUAUAGUCACUUCAAGUCUGUUUACUUCAGUUUCCUUUAUAUCAUUUUAAUUCAGCUUCUUCAGCCCUCUCUACUUUUGUGUUUUGUUUCUCCUCUUGUCUUCUUUUCUCUGCUGGUGACUACUAAUCUCUAAUUUUAUGCUAUCCUAAUAGAUUUACAAUAAUAUUGAAAAAUUACCUCCACACUGCUUUAUGACGCAGUGGGAAACUAACUUUAUAAAUGUGCCCUAAUUUUGCCCUGCAGAUGGUUGAUUUGGUUGCAAUUCAGAAUUAAAAGCUGUUACUAAUGUGUUUUUACUUCUAAGAAUAUAGUAAUUUACACAGCUGGGAGAUAAGUAAGAAAGCUGGGUAAUAAAUUGUGUUUAUAUGUAAAUUAAAGAUAAGAUAAAGAAGUCACUUAGAUCCACACAGAGUUUAAAAUGCAAGCCAGUCAAAUGUCAAAAAAUGUUUUUUGACACAAGUAAUUUGCCCUACUUUUCCCUCUCCCUUGUUCUGAUUGAUCCCACCUACAAAGAAAAUUCUAUCCAACAAAAGCCUAAAAGAGCAGCUGUUUAGUCAUGUCAGCUCAGAUAGUUUUUCUGCAAGCUUGAUUCGAUGCAGUUGGCAAACACAUACAAAUCUACUUGUGCAAUUCAUAAGCAUGAAGUAAAAGAUAUCCAAUCAUUGCAUGAACAAAAUCUAAUGUUUGCAUCAAAGCUGCACCAUAAAACAAUGACUGUGACUAAAUGCAGAUCAAAUCUUUUCCUGCUGGGACAGUAAUGUGGGUUCGUUAACACUCUGAGCUUUAAUGUCCUCAUUGACCAGAACUCUGACUUUUAACGAGUAACAAUUCUAGUCCAGGUCACGAUUUAACAAAUGUUUGAAACAAGACACAUUUGAAACAUCUUUAAAGAUUAAAAUGAGUGAGAAGAGCUUCACUAUGCCAUGAUGUGGCCUUAAUGGACUCUGUGCCAUUCCCUCUGUUUUUUAUGUGUCCUAAUUGUGCAGCUUUUAAAUGCAUCGUAGCUCUGAUAAGAAUUUAUUAUAUUGCUCAGUAACAAGUAUACCGUCUGCACUUCCAACCCUGCAGUAUAAAGGCAUGCAGCAGUUCCCUGUGGUGCAGCAGCCCAUGUCAUCAGGAUACACCCCACCCGCUCCUCCUCCUCCUCUCAGUAUGAUAAAUGGACUUCUUCCUGGAGAGUAAACAACAAAGUCAGCCUACCCCAACCCUACCAGUCACUGUCACAUUCAGGUAUACAGAGUCACAGGUUAUGUGUGGCAAAGAAAACAGCUGUUCGACAUUCAGACACAUGGCAAUGAAGACAUGUUACAAUGUCAUACGUGGCGGUGGAGAUGUCCUGGGGCCUUUUUUCUCUUACCUGCAGGGUUCAUGGAGAUAAAAAUACCUUUUGAAAUGAAUAUGGGAUCUCCUCUCACUGUCAUACUGUUAAAGUUCCCAUUUUUAGACAUUUUACUUCUCUAAAUCUUCUAAAAAAAUUCUGUUUUAGUAAAAAGGUGCAUAUGUUUCUGUUUAUCCAUUUGUUUUAAGAUACUUUAUGCAACAGCUAAUGAAAUGUAAAGCCAGUACUGACAUUCAUUUGUGAAAUAACAUCAGCCUUGGCCUGUUGUUUGCUCUUUAUACAACUGUUGUGUUUAUUUCUUGUUCCCUUGUAGGAGUCACAUGUUUCCCAGGCUGCUAAUAUCCAGACUACUGUCAACCACGACGCAAACGACCCCCUGUCAUCUGAAAGGAUUCCUGCCUUCCUUUUAACCUGAAGGCAAUUGAAAAACUUUGAAAGUAAAAGUACCAAAGUUGUCAAACAACCACUUGUGAAUUCAAAGGCUUCCUGCCUGUGUUUUCUGCUUUUUAGACAGAGUUUUUGUUUUAUUUGCAUGUAAAGGUGUCUUUCUCACCAGGGACCAAUUAAAUGAUAAAGCAGCGCGGUUACAGGUUUAUGUAAAUUCACUCUACAAGAGGCUUGUAUUGAUAAAUGGCGUGGAAUUACAGAACAGCAAAUAACUGCAGGUGGUAUACAUUAUUUUCCCUUUUUUAAUUAAUAAGGUUGCAGAGGAAAAUGUAGCGUCUAAGGAUGAGUAGCAAACCUCUCUCUCAAGGGCUGUUGAGCUUAUAAAGGGAAAAAAAGAGAAAAAAAGUGGAAGGAAUAAUAGAAAAGGAAUAAACACUCAAAGAAAACUAAUGCAGGAGCGCAACAGCCUGUUCAGCUCAGGACAUGAGUGACAAAUGAGGUUUCUUAUUGCUGCAGCCAACAUUAUUAAAGCUGCAGUAAGCAAUAUUUUUACAUUGAUUCUGAAUCAGAAGGCUCCCUGAACUAACA